GGUUAAGUGACUAAGCGUACACGGUGGAUGCCUUGGCAGUCAGAGGCGAUGAAAGACGUAGUAACUUGCGAUAAGCCCAGAUUAGGUAGUAACAACCAUUUGAGUCUGGGAUUUCUGAAUGGGGAAACCCACUUACAUAAGUAAGUAUCAUUAACUGAAUACAUAGGUUAAUGAGGCGAACCGGGGGAACUGAAACAUCUAAGUACCCCGAGGAAAAGAAAUCAACCGAGAUUCCGAAAGUAGCGGCGAGCGAAAUUGGACUAGCCCUUAAGCUUUACACGCGUUAGACGAACGGUCUGGAAAGUCCGACGAUACAGGGUGAUAGUCCCGUAGUUGACGACGUGUGUUCAGUGAAAUCGAGUAGGGCGGGACACGUGAUAUCCUGUCUGAAUAUGGGGGGACCAUCCUCCAAGGCUAAAUACUACUGACUGACCGAUAGUGAACCAGUACCGUGAGGGAAAGGCGAAAAGAACCCCUGUGAGGGGAGUGAAAUAGAACCUGAAACCGUGUACGUACAAGCAGUAGGAGCAGGCUUUGUCCUGUGACUGCGUACCUUUUGUAUAAUGGGUCAGCGACUUAUAUUCAGUGGCAAGGUUAACCAUCUAGGGGAGCCGUAGGGAAACCGAGUCUUAACUGGGCGUUCAGUCUCUGGAUAUAGACCCGAAACCAGGUGAUCUAGCCAUGGGCAGGUUGAAGGUUGAGUAACAUCAACUGGAGGACCGAACCGACUAAUGUUGAAAAAUUAGCGGAUGACUUGUGGCUAGGGGUGAAAGGCCAAUCAAACCUGGAGAUAGCUGGUUCUCCCCGAAAGCUAUUUAGGUAGCGCCUCGGACGAAUACUACUGGGGGUAGAGCACUGUUAAGGCUAGGGGGUCAUCCCGACUUACCAACCCUUUGCAAACUCCGAAUACCAGUAAGUACUAUCCGGGAGACACACGGCGGGUGCUAACGUCCGUCGUGGAGAGGGAAACAACCCAGACCGCCAGCUAAGGUCCCAAAUUACUACUAAGUGGGAAACGAUGUGGGAAGGCUCAGACAGCCAGGAUGUUGGCUUAGAAGCAGCCAUCAUUUAAAGAAAGCGUAAUAGCUCACUGGUCGAGUCGGCCUGCGCGGAAGAUGUAACGGGGCUAAGUAGUAAACCGAAGCUGCGGCAAUAUACUUUAGUAUAUUGGGUAGGGGAGCGUUCUGUAAGCGGUUGAAGGUGUGUGGUAACGCAUGCUGGACGUAUCAGAAGUGCGAAUGCUGACAUGAGUAACGAUAAAGGGGGUGAAAAACCUCCUCGCCGGAAGACCAAGGGUUCCUGUCCAACGUUAAUCGGGGCAGGGUAAGUCGACCCCUAAGGCGAGGCCGAAAGGCGUAGUCGAUGGGAAACGGGUUAAUAUUCCCGUACUUCUUACAAUUGCGAUGGGGGGACGGAGAAGGCUAGGUGGGCCUGGCGACGGUUGUCCAGGUUCAAGUGCGUAGGCUUAAGAGUUAGGUAAAUCCGGCUCUUUUUAAG
rnacentral:rRNA from 1 species